AGAGUUUGAUCAUGGCUCAGGAUGAACGCUAGCUACAGGCUUAACACAUGCAAGUCGAGGGGCAGCAUGAACUUAGCUUGCUAAGUUCGAUGGCGACCGGCGCACGGGUGAGUAACACGUAUCCAACCUUCCGUUUACUCAGGGAUAGCCUUUCGAAAGAAAGAUUAAUACCUGAUAGUAUGGUGAGAUUGCAUGAUAACACCAUUAAAGAUUUAUUGGUAAACGAUGGGGAUGCGUUCCAUUAGGUAGUAGGCGGGGUAACGGCCCACCUAGCCUGCGAUGGAUAGGGGUUCUGAGAGGAAGGUCCCCCACAUUGGAACUGAGACACGGUCCAA
rnacentral:rRNA from 1 species